UAUUGUGACUUUUUUCCCUUUGCUAAACUGGGGAUGGAGGUGGCCAGCACAUGAUGCAUCCGGCCUGUGGGCCACGAGUUUGACACCCCUGCCUUAGUUGAAUAUUGAUAAAUAUAUUACAAUAUUAGUUUUUCUUCCCUUGUGAAACAGGUCUACAAUAAUCUGCUACAAUUCUAUUGACCCAAACAGUCUGAUUCAUCAUCUGCCUCUUGUACAAAGAAACAGUUAACAGGCGAGCCCAACAACAAAAACUAACUUCAAAGCCCUUUGUUAACAAGCCAUUAUUGUGUUUUACUUGAAGAAAUCGGCAACAGCGUCAAUUUCAUUUUCAACUUUAAUCAUUACAGUCAUUGUCUCUUGUCCAUCCAGGAUCAAAUAGCUUUGAUUGAUUCUUAAUAAUAGAACUUUUCCUUAUUAUAACUAAGGUUUUUCCAUAUAAUCACAUUUAAUUCCCCAAAAUAAUAGAUCUCUGUUGUAGGUAUACAACAUUUAUCUACAGUGUUUGCUGUUCAAAAUUUCUAUGUCUGUUUUUUCAUUGGAAAUAAAAGUAUUGGGAUCAAUGAUUAAAUAGUAUAAAUUAUAUUUCUCAGAUGGCCUGCUUAUAUUUUUCAAUUGCCCUGCUUAUUCAAGUUUGAAUUUCUACCACUGAUGAGAAGAGGAAGAUGAUGAACGUUAUGAUCAAUUUCAAUUUGAAAUUGAGAAAACAUGCAAUCAAAGUAGAUGUGCUGUUUUGGUUCAGAACAAGACUGCCAAAAUUGGAUAUAGUAAGGACAAGAUAAUAAGUUGGUUACUCGGCCUAAAAAUUGACAUUAUGCAGGAAAAUGACUUAAUAAAUUUCCCCCUAUACAAUAAUUUCUUCAUUGCUAAAUAGUCUUGUGAGUUCUAUUGCAUAAUAAAACAAAUUUAUCUCUUGAAACAUAAAUGACCAUGAUGACCAGCAGCAAGAUGGAUUGAUUUGAUUACAGCACUUAUGAGUUUACUGUUGUAACAAAAACAGGAUUUGGACAGAUCAUCCUGGAAAAUUAUGUGAAUACUACAAGGUGACACUGGUCUAAGUUAAUCAAUGAAAAGUAAUAAACCAAAUUAUAUCUCAGAAUAAUUCCCCCACUGUCCCAUCCUGAAUGUGCUGCUUUAUGGUUAUUUUAAUUCUUUCUACUUUUGUGAUUAUUCUAAUUCUUCUUUAUAAACCUCAUGUAUCCUUUUCCUAUUUCAGUAACUACUCAAUACGUAUUAACAUUUUCAAUUUAAAGCGUGUCAAAUAGCAUAGUUCAUUGAUCCAAGGCACUGAUAUUCUUUUUUAGAAUACUCCCAUUAUAAGAACUCUAAAUAUAUUCUGUCUUUUUUUACAUUCCACAGGUUUAUGAAACUCAGAGAAAAGAAAUAACUUUCCCCUUUGCCUAUGUUCUUAGAGCUGAAUAAUAAUAAUAAUAUUUUUCUAGAUAGAGCACAAAAAUCUUAUUUAGUCACUUCCAUUCUUGAAUGGGAAAAAUGUGGGAUCCAAAUAUUACUGGACAAUAACUCAUAGCAUCUCUUAUCACUGUUCAUGCUAUCUGGAUUUGCAGCUGUCCGUGUUGGUGCUUGCUCAUGAUAACAGCUAAUCUGAUCUAUAAUGUUUAAAAAUGUAUCUGGCAUUUUUCUUCGGGAAAAUGCUAUGAGGUAUUGAUAGCCUCUAGUUUAAGAAGGAAGAAUAUUGUGAGGACUACAGAAAUAAAAUAUUUAGCAGAAAAAAUAUUUGGAAAUAUCUUCUGAAUUAUAAGCUUCCUUCAAAAUAACUUUAAAUAAAAUAAAAUCCAACUAAAUUGAGGGGUCACAUUUAUUUCCUCUGUAAGAAAAGUUUUUGUUUUUGUUGUUAGUAGGAUUUCUUCAGUUUGCUUUUGAAAAGAGAAAAAUAUACUUAAAUAUCCAACUUGUAUUUUAGUGAUCACUGUUUGCUGAUCAAAAUUAUGAGUUAAUUGACUAUACUGAAUAAAAUAUUGACUAUUUAGUUGAAAUCUGAAUAAAUUCAGAUUUAAUAUAUCUUACCAAUAAAAUAAACAGUAUUUUCUGAUGUAUAAGUACUUGCAAAAACAGUAAAGAAGAAAAGCAAUAAAGAAGAAAACUGGAGAAUAAUAAUCAUGCCAGUCUGAUAUUUCCAAAUACCCUAAAUACACAAGGUUGCAAAAGGAUAGAGAAAUAUGUAAUGCCAAAAAAAAAAAAAAUCACUACCAGCAUUGAUAACAUCACAACACUAAGAGGACCAGAACAAAAAAGGUUUUCCAUAGCUGCCUCAAAGGGAGGGAGGGGAAUGGAUUUUUCAUAGUAGAAUUUUUAAAAACAUUUCAUCUAUACAGAGAUUUUGAAUUAAAGAAUACAUUAUACACUUUUGCAAAUUCUUUAAUUUUAAAUACUUCCAGGAAAUUAUGGAAUACCAAGAAUGGAUCUUGUGCAGCUUCAGUGAUUGACCAAGAUAUUCUUUCCCCAUUUUUAAAGCUGUGCAAAGUGUAAUCAAAUAAUUUUUAUAUCUUUUUAAUUAUACUUAAAACUUCAACUUAUUUUAAUCUUUUUAUACCUUUGAGAUGCUUU